GAAAUGCGAUAAGUAAUGUGAAUUGCGGAAUUCCGUGAAUCAUCGAAUCUUUGAACGCACAUUGCGCCCUCUGGCAUUCCGGGGGGCAUGCCUGUCCGAGCGUCAUUACGCACCCUCAAGCCCGGCUUGUGUGAUGGGCCCCGGCGUCUCGUUCGCGAGACGGGCCCGAAAGGCAGCGGCGGCGUCGACCCGAUGAGCCCGAGCGUAUGGGGACUUCUGUCACACGUUCGCGGUGCGGACCGGCGCCUGCUUUGACUUUUCUGAUUAUCCAGGUUGACCUCGGAUCAGGUAGGGAUACCCGCUGAACUUAAGC
rnacentral:misc_RNA from 1 species